rnacentral:rRNA from 1 species
UACGUAGGGUGCGAGCGUUGUCCGGAAUUACUGGGCGUAAAGGGCUGGUAGGCGGCCAACUAAGUCGGAUGUGAAAUCCCCAGGCUUAACCUGGGAACUGCAUCCGAUACUGGUCGGCUUGAAUCCGGGAGAGGGAUGCAGAAUUCCAGGUGUAGCGGUGAAAUGCGCAGAUAUCAGGAGGAACACCAGUGGCGAAGGCGGUGCUCUGGGCCGGAACUGACGCUGAGGAGCGAAAGCGUGGGGAGCAAACAGG